CGGAUGUUCGCCGGAAGCUCGCCGGAAGAAGCGAUUGACGCACUAGAGCAAGUUGCAGUAAAUGUCUUAAAGAAAUAUCACAGUUAGCAUGUGGAUUAAGCUAGGAAUGGGAGGUGAUCCCAAUAACUUAAUAUGGGAGCAAUUGGGCCCUAGACAAACCCAAAUUGGGCUGAAUGGAUCAGUCCAUUCGGACCCAGAUUUCCU
rnacentral:lncRNA from 1 species